rnacentral:rRNA from 1 species
CACGUAGGGGGCGAGCGUUGUUCGGAAUCAUUGGGCGUAAAGGGCGUGCAGGCGGUCCUGCAAGUCCGGCGUGAAAGACCCCGGCCCAACCGGGGGGGCGCGCUGGAAACUGCAGGGCUUGAGUACAGGAGGGGAUGCCGGAAUUCCAGGUGUAGGGGUGAAAUCUGUAGAUAUCUGGAGGAACACCAAUGGCGAAGGCAGGCAUCUGGCCAUGUACUGACGCUGAGACGCGAAGGUGCGGGGAGCAAACAGG